rnacentral:misc_RNA from 1 species
CCCUUCGUGUCGGACCAUCGCACGCCGCGCGAUCGGAUUGCUACCGCAAAGGGUGGAUUUAUUUAUAUCGAAAAGUCGUUAAAAAACAAUGUUGACUAUGUGAUAGGAUUCCAAUUACAGUAUUGUCCUAUCGCGCCUAGGAGAGGACUGAUGCACAUUCUGAAGACCAUCGAACUCGGGCUUUUACGAUUGGGGGCGAUCGUCGGGAGGGUGACGAACGGACAGGUCAAGCCGCCGGCGCCCCGCACCGUCCUGUACCGUCGUUAUUUGCACGAACCCAAUGAGGCGUCGCUCGGAGAGCAGAUGCUACGCAGCAAGCAAUAUGCGGAUGAGCGUGGG